AGGAGAAGAAAAUCCCUGCGACUUGCUCGCUCAGAAGAAUAACCGUCAGCGACAGCAGCAGCGACCGUUCAGUUCCGCGAGACUCCGCACAAGGCGAAGACAAGCCCGGCGACAGCAUGGGAAAUGAGGCGAGUUAUCCCUUGGAGAUGUGCUCACACUGUAAGUAUUUUGGGCUGUUGCUCAAUCGUACCUCAGAUUGUGUUUUUUGCUUUCUUAAU
rnacentral:lncRNA from 1 species